UAGGGAAUAUUGGACAAUGGGUGAGAGCCUGAUCCAGCCAUGCCGCGUGCAGGAAGAAGGCGUUAUGCGUUGUAAACUGCUUUAGCCAGGGGAUAAAACGGCUCUGCGGAGCUAAUUGAAGGUACCUGGAUAAUAAGCCACGGCUAACUACGUGCCAGCAGCCGCGGUAAUACGUAGGUGGCAAGCGUUGUCCGGAUUUAUUGGGUUUAAAGGGUGCGUAGGCGGCCCUGUAAGUCAGUGCUGAAAUAUC
rnacentral:rRNA from 1 species